AAUUUCUACAAUUCUCCUACUCUCUUCUUUCAAUAUUAUACUUUGCAAAAUAAAAAUUUGAAGUCCUUACAAGAUGGCUGAUGGGAAGGAUACUCGACCACUUGUUAUUGACAAUGGAACUAAAUUGAGCAAGGCCGGUUUUGCUGGGGAUGAUUCUCCAAGGGCAGUUUUCGAAAGUAUAGUUGGUCGUCCUCGUCACACUGGCAUCAUGCCUGGAAUGGGACAAAAAGAUGCUUAUGUUGGUUAUGAAGCUCAGCGGAGAAGAGGUAUUUUGACUUCGAAAUAUCCAAUUAAACAUGGCAUAGUAAGCAAUUGGGAUGAUACGGAGAAAAUCUGGCAUCACACAUUUUGCAAUGAACUCCGUGUUGAUCCAUGGGAGCAUCCCGUUCUGCUGACUGAGGCACCACGUAACCCCAAAGCAAACCGAGAGAAAAUGACUCAAAUCAUUUUUGAGAAAUUCAAUAUUCCAGCCAUGUAUAUUGCAAUUCCGGCCAUUCUUUCUCUGUUUGCUAAUGGUCGUACAACUGCGGAACGUAUGAGCAAGGAAAUCUCUGCUCUCUCUCCAAGCCGCAUGAAGAUCAAGGUGAUUGCACCGCCCGAGAGAAAGUACAGCGCUCGGAUAGGAGGAUCAAUUCUAGCUUCCCUCAGUACUUUCCAACAAAUGUGGAUAGUGAAGGCCGAGUAUGAUGAAUCUGGUCCCGCAAUUGUCCACAGGAAGUGUCUCUAGGAGUGGUUUGAUAACUUCAAUCCCUCUUAGUUAAUUCUAUCAAGUGAAUGCAUUAAACUUAUCAUCAUCACAAAUUAAAAACUGUCUUUCUUGUAAGUGGGCUUUAAAAAGGAUGGUUCACUAUUCAAGCAAGAAAGACAACCUCGGACUUGGCUCUUUUUGGCAGCCCCUCUCUAAUUAUAUAUUAUCUCCUUUAAUUUGCUUAUAAGGUUUUAUAAGGAAAGAAAGCACUUGCUUGGGUCUCACAAUUAGUUCUUAAUUUUCAUUAUUUCACGCAUAUAUGGAAGUAAGUUUCUGGAGCUGGUCCUUCUUCAUAGCCUAAAGAAUACAUACCCAAUUAAUUACUUCUUAUUUUCUAGCUUGAAGACUUGAAGAUGAUGGCAGAAGAUAGAACUUUAUAAACUAUUAAAGUUUUGAAAUCCAAGAAAUAAGGGUUGCUAGAGAGAUCAAUUGAUCAAAUAUGUCAAUAAGACUUCUCAGGUAUGUGUGACAGCAGCUUUGGUACUAGCAAGCCCUGCAUUAGUUAUGGGCCUAGCAAUUUUAAGCCUACCCUUAAAGCCAAUAUUAAAGAAAGUUCGUAUAUGGGUGAAAUCGAGCUCAUGGUGCAUCCUAACCUCCGAUAAAAUAAGCCAGGUUCGAGACAUUGCAACAAGGGACCGAAAUCGAGUUAAAGUCCCAUUAGGACAGAACCCGAGGGCAUGGCGUCUGCCUUCGAGAAUAUCGAGGCCAUGGUCUCAGAAUCGGUCCUAGACUCGAACGACAUCGAAGAACAUUGUCAGACAAUCUAACAUAACCAACAGAAGGCUGAAAUAUCCGUGACUGGCCAAAUAUUACGGCAGGGAUCUCGGCACGUAUCGAUAAAGAACCGGCAAUCAGUUAAUCAAAAGAUUUUUUUACUUUUUAUAGAGUUGUACCUAAAAUAGGACUCCCCUACCAUAUAAAGGGGGUCUGCUAAUUUAUGAAAGACAUUGUAACACGCACUCAAAAGAAAUUAUAUUUUUUUUU